rnacentral:rRNA from 1 species
GACGAACGCUGGCGGCGUGCUUAACACAUGCAAGUCGAACGGAAAGGCCCUGCUUUUGUGGGGUGCUCGAGUGGCGAACGGGUGAGUAACACGUGAGUAACCUGCCCUUGACUUUGGGAUAACUUCAGGAAACUGGGGCUAAUACCGGAUAGGAGCUCCUGCUGCAUGGUGGGGGUUGGAAAGUUUCGGCGGUUGGGGAUGGACUCGCGGCUUAUCAGCUUGUUGGUGGGGUAGUGGCUUACCAAGGCUUUGACGGGUAGCCGGCCUGAGAGGGGUACCGGCCACAUUGGGACUGAGAUACGGCCCAGACUCCUACGGGAGGCAGCGGUGGGGAAUAUUGCACAAUGGGCGGAAGCCUGAUGCAGCAACGCCGCGUGCGGGAUGACGGCCUUCGGGUUGUGAACCGCUUUCGCCUGUGACGAAGCGUGAGUGACGGUAAUGGGUAAAGAAGCACCGGCUAACUACGUG